UUCUUUAAAAUAGUUGGCCAAUUAAUUUAAUAUUAAAUGAAAACAAGAUCUUUGAUAUUUAUUGUUCUUACUUUCUUAUUUCAGUGAAAUAUAGAUACUUCAUACCUGGACCUUUGUUUACAAAGUCAGGUCAUACUGAAGACCCUCCUUUUGAAAUAAAAUUGAUGUCCUAGAUAUAAAGUGUAUCAAAUCAAAGCAAUUGAAUUCAGAAGCACAAAACAAACACUAGCCAGCCAAUUAUGUACAUUAGAAAAUCUGGGGAAUGCAGACAUAGAAUCUAGCCAAAGACAAGUCAGGAUUUCAUCUACAACCACUACUACUAGAAUAAUUAAUUCAAGUAGGACUUUUAGCCCAAAGUUGAUCUAGUACCUACAGUAAAAUGAUAGUCAACUAUAGCAAACAUUAUACAGCUAUGCAAAUAUUAAAUCUUAAGGAUUUGGGGGGGUCUUCUAUUUUUUUCCCCAAAUCUUUGUAUUUCAGGAAACAUUCCUCUUACAGGAACCAAACCAAGUUCAGCCUCUUCAACUCCAGCCAUGAUCAGCUCUGCUGUGGUCAGAGAUUUACUAGCCACAGCACUCAUUUGGUUACAGUUCUCUGUCCCCAGAGUGGAUCAUUGACAAAUGAGGUCAGCGUUUAUUUCUACAUCCCUGGCAGAAAUUGAUAAUCACCUGUGUCUAGUGAGUCGUGAAAUGCAGGCCAGGAAACUCACGGCUCAUACAUUGAAUGUUUUGGCUAGGCACUCACUGUGUGAGUGUGAGAAUAUCGUUUAAUUACAAGAAGUUUUUAAGAAGGGCAAAAUCAAGAAGCUACACUAGUUUCAUUAUGUGUGGCACAUAUCCUGAAGAAAAAAGACAGAUUUUAAUGGUAAGUGAAUAUUGACCUUAAAUCACUGGCUCACAAAUUAGACAAUAAUUAGAGACUUCCAUUCAUAUUUUGCUUAUAAUUCACUUUCUAAGACUUGAAUGGCUCAUUGGUUUUUCCUACGUGAAAUAAUAAACAUCUUGACAGCAAUGUUAUUAUUCCAAGCUGUUCUGGCCUAGAAAGGACUAAUUCUGCUCUUCCAAAGAAUCUCUGAUUGUCUCUACUCAUCCAGGCUCUCAGGAGUGAAUCUUAUUGCAGAGGUUAAAGGAAAACCUGAGCAAAGCAGAAGAUAAGAAAAUUAUUGAAGAAAAUAUCACAUAACAUAAGAUAAUCAUAAAUAUUAAUAAAACAGUAUUUUCCACAAUACACGUGUGCAAGUCAUGGGUCCUCUGAGGCAACAGAGCAAGUCUUGCAACCAAAAAGGUCUAGAUUCAAAUCUUUUCUCCAUGUGUUACCAGAUGCUUUAUCUUGGGCAAAUCACUUUAUCUCUUUUAGCCUCAGUCUCCCCAUCUGUAAGUUGAUUAUAAGUGUAUU